GAUAAAUUUAGCUUUUUGAAAAGCUUCCUACCUGGCCUUUAUUUUUCUCAUGUCGUUUCAGACCAGUGAAAAUGUAACCACUAGCAUCUGUCCUGGGCUUGCUUUUGAGACACACUAACCUAUCCAUCUUUUUCAUUCUAGAAAAUUCUCACCCAUCCUUCAAGAUCAGUUCUUGAGUGAAGUACUUGCUGACUCCUGAGGCAGAGAAAGAUGACUAAAACAUGCUUAGGACAUCUGGGCAGCUGUACUGAGAUCCCAGCAUGUGGCAAUCCAGCCAUUACAGGAGCUGCACUACUGAAGCACAGGUGAAAAUGCAGGUAGGGUGAAGAAGAGCAGGAUGUUUCAUUUUUGUCAAGCGUCACCUGAUUCAAAAUGUAGCCACUGAAAAGAAGCAAUCGUUUUUGGCCUGCGUCUCUGAGGAUAAGACAGUGCAUGGGUGAUGGAUGCAGCCCAGGUGGGAGCUGUCUGCAAAUAACCCAGCUGCUUCCUGCGGCCCUGGUCAUCCUCCUGCCCUCAGCUGCUCCCAUGGAGGCCACCUACCCCCCUAACACUGAGCUGCUCACCUAGUCCAGCCACCAGCGAUGGCCCCUGGCCUUUGACAUGUCUGUUCUCUCCUCUCUCACUCCACCGCCACUGGCUUCCAGGGAUCUCCAGCCUGUAUAGAAACUUCUCACUACUCUCUGCCCUCGCCCUUUUAGCAGGCUCCUUAUGCUGCUGACUCCACCUCCCAGGCAAAGCAUUCUAAUUUAAUUCUUUACAAGUAUUCUCCCUCCUGAAGUGCUGGGCUCCACCAUGGGGGUGAGUCAGGGCACGUCACCCACAGCUUUCCAGACACCCCGGGCCCAGGGCCCGUCCUGCUGUGAGCAUGGCUCCUUCAGCCUUCUUCCUUCUUCGCCUGUGGGGAGUUAGACAUUCCCGAACCUCGUGCUCAAUCCCUGCCUCUGUCGGGGCCUGCUAAGCCCAUAAGACAUAUCUGCAUGUGUCAGAAUAUGUGCAAGCUUUCGACAGGAUUCCAGUUUUUCCCCAUAGCGCUUUUGGCAAAUAAAGGGUGUGGCUCAACAGCUGGUCUGAUGUCCCUUAACCUCCCCCACACCAGCACAACAGGACUGUCUCUGUGUUCGCAUUCCAGCAUAUCUGGGUCUCAGCCUUGACACAAUCAGACACCAUUGCUGAAGUUUUUAUGUUUAUAUGACAGAAGAAACUGUCACCCCCGCCCUGCCCCCCGCCCCCACCCAUCUGUUCUAAGAAAGAGCUCCAAGGUCUUGAGACCACACGCAGGGGAUGGGCAAGCUGACAUUAACGGGGAAUGAGGUCUUUCUGUGAUUCCAGCAGCCUCAGGAGGAGAACGUCAGAAACCGAAAGCUCCUCUGCCCAGGGAUGGGGACCGGCUGACUUCAAGAGCAGAACAGGUGCCUGGCUAGUGGGGAAAUUCCCCGAUGUGGACUUAGACUCUAGCGUCUCCAGAGAACAUAACCAACAUUUGUCUUUAAGAGAUGUGUUUGUUUGAGUAGAUCAGCUAUGAAAAUACCCAGCCGGCCUGCAGCCCUCCAGGCAGAUGCUGAAAAGGAAACCCGACUGGGGGAUGCCUGGUCCCCCAGAGAGCUGCGUUGUUUCCUCCCACCGAGGCCUUUGGAUCCGGCCACAGCAAGCAUCCCUGGGCACCUGGCUGAAGCUGGAAACUCGGGAUAAGAAUAGAAGCCCUGGAAGGGAAGAAGAACCGAGGAGUGAGCUUGCCCUGAGAACAGCACAUUGCACUCUCACCUCCUUUGCAGUUAAGUGUGAAAUAGUGCCAAUAGAGUGUGAAAGAAAAGAAAGAAGAUGGUUCACCUCCCAAAGAAGGGGAUUCCCCACUGCUGUGUCCCUUCUAUCAACUUGAUACAAAAAAACACAAUGGCCCCGGGAACCACGUGUUGAAGAUGAGAGAGCUAAAAGAUGGAAAGAGACUGGAGCCUUGAGUCACCACCUGGAGGAAAACUACCCACCCAUCAGGAAUUUCUACUACACAUUUGGGAGUUUUUGGGUUACAGCAGCUACUUUAACUAAAACACCCAGAGACAAGAGCUAUUAUUGCACAAAUUGGUUAAGUUACCUUUUUGUAUGUUUGGGUCCUCUCUGUUCGAUGAGACUGCACGUUCCUUUGAAGCACAUCUAUUUAAAAUUCUUAUAUCCCCAGAGAGCCUAGCAGAGAGUAUGCACCGAGUGAGCCUUCAGUAAAUGCUGGGUAAAUAAGCUCCUAAUGGAUGAAACUGGGUCUUCGAAGUUUGUUCCGACCAGUACUUAGUAUAGGAUUUUGUGCUGUUGGUCACUUUUCAUAAAGGUUCUUGCUAUUAAGGAACUUGACAUCCAAUGUACUCAUAGAGAGUAGAAAUUCAGGGGAAACAAAUAGAAGAGAUAUGUCCAAAAAUCCAUUUAAAAUUUCAUUGACAGAUAUUUAUCUCUUUAAUCUUGGAAGUUGUUGCAUGUAAGGGAAGGUUCAGUAGAAUGAAAACAGGACUGUAAGCUGGGAGGAGAUUUGGGGUCUCUUGGCCAACUCUGCCACAAAUUGUGUUACCUUCAACUUCCCUGCCUGUAAAAUGAAGUCAUUGGUCCCUAAAAUGAAAUUUGGACUAACGGCAAAUUAGCUAGCAUUUGAUUAUACAUCGAUAGGUUCCCCAUGUGAUUUUAACGCGCAAAUCAGAUUUUGGAAUCAUUAGGUAGGUGAUCUUAUCUUAUGAGUCUAUCUUUUUCAACAUGGAAAAAUAAAUUCGUUUUGCUGACCGAA